GGACUACUGCACAAUGAGAGCCUACUUCGCUAUUUGCGUCCUGUUGAUAUGUUUGACGGGUUUGGAGGACACUGAUGCUCUUAAAUGCUUUAGAAGUUACUGUAGUACCCGUGCUCAUUGCAAAUCUGGAUGUCGUGCACGUAAUUGUGGCAGUAAAUAUGACUGCAAUGUCCAACGAAAGGAGUGCUGUUGUGAUGGUUGUAGCCCUAAUAAAUAACCAGAAAUAUAAAGAACAUCAAAUUGUUAACAUUACAGAAAAUGCACGUUAACAUGAAUAUUAAAAUAUUUUAUCAGUCGACGAUAUGAAUUAAAAAUUAUGAUAAUCUGUACAAGAAAAUGAUUUCAUCAAUUCUUCUGAUUUUUAGAUAGAGUCUUUCAUAUUCGCAUAAAUAAAAACCUUGCAAUAG